rnacentral:rRNA from 1 species
AUUGAACGCUGGCGGCAUGCCUUACACAUGCAAGUCGAACGGUAACAGGUCUUCGGAUGCCGACGAGUGGCGAACGGGUGAGUAAUACAUCGGAACGCGCCUAGUAGUGGGGGAUAACUACUCGAAAGAGUGGCUAAUACCGCAUGAGAUCUACGGAUGAAAGCAGGGGAUCGCAAGACCUUGUGCUACUAGAGCGGCCGAUGGCAGAUUAGGUAGUUGGUGGGAUAAAAGCUUACCAAGCCGACGAUCUGUAGCUGGUCUGAGAGGACGAGCAGCAACACUGGGGCUGGGACGCGGCCCAGACUCCUACGGGAGGCAGCAGUGGGGAAUUUUGGACAAUGGGCGCAAGCCUGAUCCAGCAAUGCCGCGUGCAGGAUGAAGGCCUUCGGGUUGUAAACUGCUUUUGUACGGAACGAAAAGCCCUGGGUUAAUACCCUGGGGUCAUGACGGUACCGUAAGAAUAAGCACCGGCUAACUACGUGCCAGCCGCCGCAGUAAGAC